UACAGAGGGUGCAAGCGUUGUUCGGAAUUAUUGGGCGUAAAGGGAGUGUAGGCGGUGAGUUAAGUCUUCUGUGAAAUCUACGGGCUCAACCUGGAGACGCCACUCGAUACUGCUAUGACUUGAGUCUGGUAGGGGAUCACGGAAUUCCUGGUGUAGCGGUGAAAUGCAUAGAUAUCAGGAGGAACACCGGUGGCGAAGGCGGUGAUCUGGGCCAGUACUGACGCUGAGGAGCGAAAGCGUGGGGAGCGAACAGG
rnacentral:rRNA from 1 species